rnacentral:snoRNA from 1 species
UGCCUUUGUGUUGCCCUUUCACGAUGAUCUCAGUGAACAGGGUGUCUAUCAAGGCAAACAGUAACUCGGUGCUCGCUGUGAGGAAUUCAUCACUAUUGAUCCAUUUCUGCACAAUCGACUGCGAGCACCAACAUCA